CGGGGCGUAGCGCAGCUUGGUAGCGCGUCUGGUUUGGGACCAGAAGGCCGCGAGUUCGAAUCUCGCCGCCCC
rnacentral:tRNA from 1 species